UUGCCCCCACCUUGUGGAAAAAAAAGAAACUGCCCCCACCUCCCGCAUCUUUCUCCUCAACCCCGAUCCACCUCUGCCGCCGCACCAGGCCACCCACACCCACCGCACUCCACCGCCCCGCGCCGCCACCGCCGCCGCCCUCGCGCCAACCUCCAACCGCGCCGCCGCGGAGCCGAGUCACCAACCACGCGUCCGCCGGAGCCCGGACCACCAACCGCGCUGCCACUGGAGUCCCGACCUUCAGGCGCGCCACCGCCGAGCCCAGACCACCAAUGGCGCCGCCGCCUGAGCCCCAACCUCCAACUGCAAUGCCGCCUAGCCCCGAUAACAAAAGCGUGCCAUCACCACCCCCACGACCCGCGUCGCCGGCGCCCCUCCUCCGCGGCCGGCGCUCUCCCAGCCCGUGGUCGACACCCAUCCUCCUCCGCGGCCAGUGCCCUCCCUCCCUGCGACCGGCGCGCUCCUUCCCCAUGGCCGACGGGCCUCCAGCUCCGUGGCCGGCGCGGUCCCUCCUCGCUGCAGCUUGCCCCUCCUCCAUGGAUGGCCUGCACCGGGAACUCAUUGAGGUGGUACCCUUCAUCCCCGACCUUCAAUUACAGGUCACCAACGACGCUACAAAGAGAAAGAUCUGGGACCUAGAGAUAGACAGUUGUGUCGAUACGGUCCAAGGACACGCAAAGGGUCUCAGUGCUCUUUGUUGGCACCCAGAACUUCGGGUACUAAUUACUGGUUGAGUCGAUGGGACCGUGCGAGUCUGAAACUGGAUGUCUCAUAGCAGUACAUACAGAAGCUUCAGUGUAAACCCAGCUUGAUGAGGUGGUCGCACUCGGCAUGCGAGAGGAAGCCGCUGUACAGAAAUGCUCUGCACGGACAAACAAACAAACCUAGCACUGUAAGACGCAAAUCGACAAACAGGUGGCGCAUGGCGUGCUGAGAAAGGCCAGCCAGAGGGAAGGAAGCAAGCGCCUGAGCUGACCUGGGGCGCCAGGAGAUCUCGGUGACACGCGCCGGGUCGUAGAACCCGCCGCCUCCUUCCGCGGCGGCGUGGGAGAGGGACGGGAUGAGCGCGAGCGCAGCGAGGAGGAAGGGCCCUGUGAAGUUCAAUUUUUUGAUUUUCUGAAGUUUAGUUUGUUGAUUUUCUGAAGAAAUAGGUUGCUUCACUUGCACUCCUCUAAAUAGUCUUGUGUGGUUAUCUCCUCGACUCCUAGGUUCGGCACAAACUGAGAAUUGUAGGCAUCUUCUGAGUUUAUAAUGCUUGAAAUUACAGUACGGGAUUAUAUAACAUUCUAGAAGGUCUUUAGUUGAAACCCCGUUGUGGCAGCAGCAAGCGAUCAUUAGGUCCCCUGGCCUGCUCUUAGCUUGUUGUCUUGAGAAAAGUUCAGAAACUAACUGAACUCAUGUGCUAUUUCAUCCAAACCUAAUUGUAUUCAGAAAAACGAUUUUCCAAAUCCAAACAAAUAGAAGUUCAAGUCGUUGUGUGUUGUUAGGUCAGAAAAUUCUGUGUGCACGGUCCGGUGGUGGUUGACAGCAUCGGCCACCAUGUCUGCGACUGCCAACCUCGACGGCAAGGAGCCAAGGAUAGUGAGCUGUAAACACUGGCACAACACCCUGAUGGAAGCCGGGUCAAUUGUUGCCAAUGCAAGGAGGGAUUAGUAUAGUGGUUUAUAGUGUUCAAAUCUACACAUGCGUGUUCUGGUGGAAUUGGUCAAUGUUGUUCCAUGUAGUUGUAUAGUAUCCAGAUAAAAUCGUCGAUUCCUAUUGUCUAAGUGAUUUUGAUGUCUGAAGUUCAACUGUAUAUGCAGGCGCAAAAAACACACAUCAUGUAGUACAUGAAACUUGUAGUUCUUUUA